UGGGUUUGAUGGCAACCCCUCCCUUGUUCUUUUCCUCGUGAGCCAGCACAGCCAGAGAUCUCGCACCAAGCAAAGUCAAGCUGAGCUGCAAAUGAAAGGUCCAGAGAACCAGAGCAGCAUGCUGCAUACCUGCAUGCACUAGACUAUGCCCCCACCCCACCCCUUUGCGACCUUUUGCCUAUCACAUUGAGUGCAUCUUGUGCAAGACUUCUUUGGGGAUGGAAUCAAAUUCCAUGGAAAGCCAUGUCAAGUUGUUGCUCAGGGAUCUAAUUCUUUCGGAUUUCUUUUGCGGCCGCACCGAUACUUCCACACCGGAAGAGAUCAAGGAACAGUUGCACUCGCUCACUUGGGAGUCCGCCAUCGGAGGGAGGCGGGCGCGUGGAAGCAGCAGCCGCAAUUGACAUCGACGGAGAAAUCAAAUGGGCUCGUGGAAUUCGAUGCGGCUCGCAAGGAUUUAGUGGUGCGGCGCGUCGCACCGACCCAGGAUGGGUCAUCUCGGAGAGCGACGGCGCGCCAAAUCCUGGUCUCCGUGACCCUAAUAGUGGACGCGAGUGCGUGACAUCCACCUAACACAUCGAUGGCAACGCUCGAACCAAAGAUAGCCAACCAUUAAUGUGAUGAAAUAUGACACCCCCAAAAUAAUUGUAGCCAUUGACGUGUGACAAAAUUGAAUUAAAUGUGUUGCAAUGUCUUCGAGGCUUUUUUAUAUUUACACCCUUACAGAUUCAUAUUUUGUUUUUGAGGGCUCUUUAUAUCACACUCUAUAGGAUAAUAAAUUGUUCAGGGAUGUCAGUGUAAACAAACACUCCCCCGCAGGGAAGGAAAGAAAAGGAUGCGAAACGAAGAGGGAAAAGCUGAAAGGGGUUAAACGCUAAAAAGGAACCGCUGCUCCGACCUCCUCUUCUUCUCCGCCUCCCGACCUCGGAUUCGUCGCCGUCGUCUUCCAGCUUUUUCAGGAAGAGGUCAAUUUAAAAGCUAAGAGCAUGAAUGAAGAUGAUAGAUCCAAGAUAUGCUGCGCUGCUCAUAUCUUGGACUGAUGCUGGCUGAAGUGUACGUUUCGUCCAGCAAAUAGGAAGCCAAAUCAUGACAGAGAAAAGCUGUCUCAGCAAGAAAACAUGAGAGACUGUUGUACUCCAUCUCCAGUUGUAAACGUCCGUAGUGAGGUUCGUGCCCCAGGAAAAGGAAACUCGUACUUCAAUUACCUCGUAGCAUAUUCAACAUGAUGAUAGUUACAGUUAUGCAUUCA